rnacentral:sRNA from 1 species
AGAAAGGUUCUCGCCUUAAAUGAGGUUC